rnacentral:rRNA from 1 species
UGCAAGUCGAGCGGCAGCGCGGGGCAACCUGGCGGCGAGCGGCGAACGGGUGAGUAAUGCAUCGGAACAUGUCCAUUCGUGGGGGAUAGCCCGGCGAAAGCCGGAUUAAUACCGCAUACGCCCUGAGGGGGAAAGUGGGGGACCGCAAGGCCUCACGCGAAUGGGUUGGCCGAUGUCCGAUUAGCUAGUUGGUGGGGUAAAGGCUUACCAAGGCGAUGAUCGGUAGCUGGUCUGAGAGGAUGAUCAGCCACACUGGGACUGAGACACGGCCCAGACUCCUACGGGAGGCAGCAGUGGGGAAUUUUGGACAAUGGGGGCAACCCUGAUCCAGCCAUUCCGCGUGAGUGAAGAAGGCCUUCGGGUUGUAAAGCUCUUUUGUCCGGAACGAAACGGUUAGCGUGAAUAUCGCUGACUACUGACGGUACCGGAAGAAUAAGCACCGGCUAACUACGUGCCAGCAGCCGCGGUAAUACGUAGGGUGCGAGCGUUAAUCGGAAUUACUGGGCGUAAAGCGUGCGCAGGCGGUUUUGUAAGCCAGAUGUGAAAGCCCCGGGCUUAACCUGGGAAUGGCAUUUGGGACUGCAAGGCUUGAGUGCGGCAGAGGAGACUGGAAUUCCUGGUGUAGCAGUGAAAUGCGUAGAUAUCAGGAGGAAUACCGAUGGCGAAG